UGUACCUACGGGAGGCAGCAGUGGGGAAUAUUGCACAAUGGGGGGAACCCUGAUGCAGCGACGCCGCGUGAGUGAAGAAGUAUUUCGGUACGUAAAGCUCUAUCAGCAGGGAAGAAAAAAGGACGGUACCUGAGUAAGAAGCCCCGGCUAACUACGUGCCAGCAGCCGCGGUAAUACGUAGGUGGCAAGCGUUGUCCGGAUUUACUGGGUGUAAAGGGCGUGCAGCCGGGAGUGCAAGUCAGAUGUGAAAUCCCGCGGCUCAACCGCGGAACUGCAUUUGAAACUGUGCUUCUUGAGUGCUGGAG
rnacentral:rRNA from 1 species